GAUGAAGAACGUAGCGAACUGCGAUAAGUAAUGUGAAUUGCAGAAUUCAGUGAAUCAUCGAAUCUUUGAACGCACAUUGCGCCCCUUGGUAUUCCAUGGGGCAUGCCUGUUCGAGCGUCAUUUGUACCUUCAAGCUUUGCUUGGUGUUGGGUGUUUGUCUCGCCUUUGCGUGUAGACUCGCCUUAAAAUAAUUGGCAGCCGGCGUAUUGAUUUCGGAGCGCAGUACAUCUCGCGCUUUGCACUCAUAACGACAGCGUCCAAAAGUACAUUUUACACUCUUGACCUCGGAUCAGGUAGGGAUACCCGCUGAACUUAAGCAUAUCAAUAAGCGGAGGA
rnacentral:misc_RNA from 1 species